AUGGAUGAAUUAAUAAAAUAAAUUAUAAUAAAAGAAAUUUUAAUAUUAGAAAUAUAUGGGGGUUAAAGUAUUUUUAAUAGAAAAAAUUUUUAAUUUUAUAGUUAAUUAGUAUUGUAAAAGAAAUUUGAAAUAAAUUUGAAAAUAAAAUUAUUUAAAAGUAAAUUUAAUUUAUUGUAUCUUGUGUAUCAGAGUUUAUUAAUUAAAUAUGUAUGUAAAUAUAAUUCUCGAAUUUAAAAGAGUUAAUUAAUUAAAAAAUUUAUUGUUUUAUAAAUAUUUUAAAUAAUUAAUUAGAAAUGAAAUGUUAAUCGUUUUUAAAUAUAUCUAGUUUUUUUAGAAAAAAAUUAAAUUUUUAAUUAAAUAAAAAAUUUAUUUAAUAAUUAAAUAAAUUUUUUAUUUAAUUUAAUAAUUUAAGGGAUAAGCUUUAAAUUAAAAAUUUAUAAUAAAAUAUAAAAAUUGAAAAUUUUAUAAUUUAUAUUGUUAAUAAAUUUUAUUUUAUUAUAAAUAAUUUCAUUAAAAUUUAAAAUUUAAUUUAAAUUUAAAUUUUUAUAAAAAAAUAUUUUUUAUCAAUAACAAAAUAGUUAUAAUGAUAAAAUUAGUAUAUAAUUUAUAAAAUUUUUAUAUGUAAAAUAAAAAAAAAAUAGUUUAAUUUUAUGAUAAUUAUUUUAAAGGAACUCGACAAAAUUAUUAUAUUAAAAAUAAAUAUAAAAUAUGUUCACCUGUUUAUCAAAAACAUGUCUUUUUGAAAUUAAUUUAAAGUCUAAUCUGCCCACUGAUAAUAAUUGAAGGGCUGCAGUAUAUUGACUGUACAAAGGUAGCAUAAUCAUUAGUCUCUUAAUUGGUGACUUGUAUGAAAGAUUGGAUGAAAUAUAAAUUGUCUCUAUUAUAUAUAAUUGAAUUUAAUUUUUUAAUUAAAAAGUUAAAAUAUAUUAAAAAGACGAGAAGACCCUAUAGAGUUUUAUAUUUUUUAUUUUUAAAAUUAUAAAUUUAUAUUAAUAAUAUAUUUUAAAAAUAAAAAAUAUUUUAUUGGGGUGAUAAAAAAAUUUGUUUAACUUUUUUUAAAAUUUUACAUAAAUAAGUGGUUUAUUGAUCCAAUAAUAUUGAUUAUAAGAAAAAAUUACCUUAGGGAUAACAGCGUAAUUUUUUUUUUUAGUACAAAUAAGAAAAAAAGUUUGCGACCUCGAUGUUGGAUUAAGAUAAAAUUUAAAUGCAAAAAUUUAAAAUUUUGAUCUGUUCGAUCAUUAAAAUCUUACAUGAUCUGAGUUCAAACCGGUGUAAGCCAGGUUGGUUUCUAUCUUUUAAUAAUUUUAAUAUUUUAGUACGAAAGGAUCAAAUAUUAUAAUUAAAUUAAUUUAUUUUUGAAUAUUAUUAAGUUAUAAUAAAUAAAAUUAUAA